CGGUAACACCAGCCCCUCGAGUGGUGGGGAUGAUUAUUUGGCCUAAAGCGUCCGUAGCCGGCCCUGUAAAUCUUUCGUUAAAUCCAGCGUCCUAAGCGUUGGGCUGCGAGAGGAACUGCAGAGCUAGAGGGUGGGAGAGGUCAGCGGUAUUCCUGGGGUAGGGGCGAAAUCCAUUGAUCCCAGGAGGACCACCAGUGGCGAAGGCUGCUGACUUGAACACGCCUGACGGUGAGGGACGAAAGCUGGGGUAGCGAAUCGGAUUAGAUACCCGAGUAGUCCCAGCCGUAAACGAUGCAGGCUAGGUGUUGGGUCGGCCACGUGCUGGCUCAGUGCCACAGGGAAGCCAUUAAGCCUGCCGCCUGGGGAGUACGGCCGCAAGGCUGAAACUUAAAGGAAUUGGCGG
rnacentral:rRNA from 1 species